rnacentral:rRNA from 1 species
UACGAAGGGGGCUAGCGUUGCUCGGAAUCACUGGGCGUAAAGCGCACGUAGGCGGAUCUUUAAGUCAGGGGUGAAAUCCCAAGGCUCAACCUUGGAACUGCCUUUGAUACUGGGGAUCUCGAGUCCGGAAGAGGUUGGUGGAACUGCGAGUGUAGAGGUGAAAUUCGUAGAUAUUCGCAAGAACACCAGUGGCGAAGGCGAUCUUCUGGCUAUUACCUGACGCUAAGGCUCGAAAGCGUGGGGAGCAAACAGG